ensembl:lncRNA
CUCAUUCUCUCUAUUUUUAUUAUUACUUUUUAGGCAGGCAUUUCCUAAGGUGGAGCCCGGAUGGAGCCCUGGUCCUCCCCUCUCCCCUACUCCCCCCCCCCCACGCUUUCCUGCCGGCUCCGGAGGCGGGCGGGGUGCCGCCCUGUCGGUGCGGGACGCUGUGCGGUGCGGUGCGGUGAUUUCGCGAUGCGCAGCGCCGGCAGUGCCUCCUCACCGCGGUCCCUCCACGCACCCAGCACAGCGGUUCUGAAAACGCGUAGACACGUGCGUGUGUGCCUGUUUUCCCCUAAGCCCGUAACAGGGAGGGCAGAAUGCAUUUCCAAGCACCAGAAAAAUCAUAGACCUGUGGACUUAUCAGAGAUGCUAGAAUCCAAAGAGCAGAACUUGGUCAACAUUCCCGUGUUCUCUGGAGAUGAAGGAUGGGCUGACUCUCCUUUCCUUCUUUAUUAGCUCAAGAAUGACAUUCCCGGAAAAAAAAAAAUCAGUUCUGAAGAAUGUAGAAGAUGGAUUCCAAAUCAAGCCUACACUUCUCCACCUUCUCAGUAUGAAUCUCUCCCACCCAAAGCAAACCCAGGGGAGCAGCUUCUGAUUCCUCUUUCAGGUGCACAAAGGCAGCCUCUCCCUAAAAUACCACAUUCUAACGUACUAUCUUCACUUGUUGUUAAUAAACCUGCUCCAUCCAGGUGUACUUUUAAAUACUGACAUGCACUUAAGAGGCACACUACAUUGAAGCUAUGGUAAAACUCUACCCAAGUACAAGCUAAAAAUAGUUCAUCUCUCUUUCUUCCAUAUAAAACAUGGAAAACUGAGUUAAUCUGAGUAGAACAUGCUCAGUGAGAAUAAAAGUGUGUUACACGUUACCCAAUGCAUUUGCAUUACGUGCAAAUAUGCAGUGUGUAUAUUUAUUACAUAGUAAUGUGCAUACAUACGCAAGUGCAUAGUUAUUACAUAGUAAGUUUCUCCAAUCCAAGCCACCAAUUCAAAAUAAGAAAAUCCAGCAAAGUUUUAGCCUACUCAAAGAUGUUAAAGAAACAGAGGGAUCUGAAUACAUCCCAAGAAAGACAGAAAGAAUUAACAAGGUCCCACAUGAAGACAAGUAGAUAUACAUAUCUGGGAGGUAAAUGGUGAAAAGAUGGAUAUAAUAUUCAUCAUUAAUUAUUAUAUUCUUGUUCUGAAUGCUCCAUGGCAGUAAUAGGAAUAUUUUACAAGGAUUAAGGAGGAUCUUUAGCCUGGAAGUAUUAAAUAAUUGUGGAGUGACCUAGCAUUUAUCCUUUGUCUUAGAAUAGCAUCUAGGAGCAAUGAUUAAGUGCUAACUGGAAUAAAUACAGCUAGCUCUUUUCAACCUCAAGAUUUGCCACAUAGGGGGAAAAAAAAAGAGAAAAAAUGGCUGGAUGAAAAUAUGAAGUAAGCCUUUUUACAGGACUUGUAGUAAUUAUAUCUUCGGUAUUUUUCUUCUUUGACCAUCUUUUAUGCACACUGGAAACAAGGAUCUCAUCUCAUGUCCUUCAGAAGAACGUGUUUUCAAAAUGUGAAGAAUCCAGCCAUCCCAUAAUUCUGUCCCUCUGUUACCUGUCGAUUCAAGCUCUGUAUGGUUAAUGUAACUUGAAGGAGGAAGGCAGGUCUUAGGGCUGGAAUACAAAUUUGAGUAUUAAGAAAGAUACUUCAGAUUUACUUUUAACAUGAUGGGAAUUCAUUUUCUGAUUUGUGCUAAAUAUCACCUGGCUUUAGGUCUCAUAAUUUAUCUCACGUAUCAUGUCUAGGGUGUAGCAAAUGACCCAUCUAUGACCGUGGAAACAUUUGGAAAGAAAAAUGAGUGGAGAUUUUGUUCUAUCGAGACAGCACUGAAGCACACCCGUUCCUAUCAAUAGGAUCUAUUUCUAGACCAUUAAAAUCAAAUCCAUCCCAUCUAAAAUGUAGAAUUUUGGCCCCUCAUAGAGGUGGAGUUUGGUAGAUAUGGACAUUUAUGCUACGGAUCCAGUAGUUUCAGCUCUUAAGUUUUCAUCAGUGAGUUACUAUGUCACAACCUCUGAAUGACCAAAUGGGAAUUGUGAAAAGGUGCCUAACAUUUCAGAAUGCAACUGGUCUGCAGCUGGCAGGCAUUUCCUCAGUUCAGACAAAAAAUAAAGUCACUAAAAAUCAACAGCUGAAUGAAUAUUCAAAGGCAUUUUGAAGAUGGAGGUGUAGGAAAUAAAAAUAACCAAUUUUUGAAUUAAUCUAAAAAAAAAUGGAAUGUAAAUAGUUUAUUUCACUGGACUUGCAUUUUCUUGGUUUCAGUGUCUAUUGACUAUGAGGAAAAAUGUGUAGAAGACUUAAAUAGUACUUCAUAGCUUUAUUCUCAGGCUGUCAAAUGUAUUCCUUGGGAUUGGGAUUUUUCAAGGGGUUUCAAUUCAUUCAAUUGAUUAUAAAAGCCAAAUAUAUAUAUAUAUAUAUAUAUAUAUAUAUAUAUAUAUAUAUAUAUUCAUUUUGGUGGUGGAGGAUGGUGGUGUAAACCCCUAAGGAACUUCAGGAUAUCGAAGAAUCUGUCCUAGCUCUCUGAGAACAAAUGAAGUGUAUAUAUAAGUUUGAACCUGCGAUCCAGUACGUAAUUACCUUACAGAAUAUUUCCCAGUUGUUAAUCCAAAGUUUACAUGCUGUGAAUUAAGCCAUUUUCCUUUUUUUUUUUUUUUCCCAACGGAUGGUGCACUUGAAGACUCUUUGAUCACAGUCUGUCAAUAGUGAUACAGUUUAAUAGAUCCUUUGCCACUGUUCCAAUUUUAAACACAUUCUCUCUUAAAAUAUCUCUAUAUCCAUGUUUUGUACAACCUUGUGGUCUCUCCCCACUUUUCUUAAAACCUGGACUGAUUGGGUACAGUGACAGUGUUCACUUUUGGACUCAUCAAUGCCAAACAGAAAAUGCAUUCACGUAUGUCUUUUCAAAUCACAUCUCAGGGUGAAAUCUCUUUUCUAUUUUUUUCAGCACCACAUUCCCAAGACUCUGUGUGGUGAACCUGUGUCGCUCAUCCUCUUCCUCAGUGCUGUUGUAAUUCUCUGUUUAUUUUUUUCACAUUUUAUUAUGAUCUUUCUUUCCUAAUAAUUAAAGCCACUUGCCACUUAUCUUUAUUUGGCUUUAUCUUGCUGGUCUGUCUCUCUGUUUUGAAGUGACCAUUUAGUAUUCAGCACUUAAGCACCAAAUGUUAAGCACCAAACCUCUGCUUUUGCUGCAGUCCAUUUUUGUACCCACUGUGUUCCAUCCUCUGAAUCACAGACAGAAGUGCUCAAUUUGCCGUGAAUGAUAUUCUCCAAUAAAAAGUUAUUUGAUGUGGCCAUCCAUUUUUCCCAGUGAGCUAUAGCAAAAUAUCCUCUGGAUAUAUUUUUGUAUACUGGUUUUAUUGUAAUUUAAUUAAUACUAUCUUUUCUUGUUAUCCCAUGAGAAUGCAGUGUGGGUUGGCAACUAAAAGCUUUAAAAUCAACAUAUACUACUUCUCUGCCUUUUGCAAUGUGCUAUGCUUGUAGAAGGAAAUAGGUUUUGUCUGACAAUUUGUUCCUGGCACAUGAAGUGUUUCUUAUUGCUAUAAUUUUAUGAUCUUCUUUUGAAUUAAUAAACAGCAUGUUUUGGCAUGUUGAAAUAAGUAUGAGUGGUGUCCCUUUUCCUGCAUCUCUUUUUACAAAAGGAAACAGUAUAGUACCUUUGAAUCCAUUCUGAAGUGUGUAUGCAUAUUAGCUAAUGAGCAGAUACAUGGAAGAAUUUUUAGCAAUGGGUAAAUAUCCUUGUCAACAUCAGAAUAAUUGGCUGUAAUCUUAUCACAUAUUUUAUUCCAAUAAAUCAUAUUACUGCUCUGUUCAUUGCUGUUAGUUGGAAUAACCUUUUAGAUAUUUGCAGCUACAUGAUCAUUUACGGUCUGGAUUUUGCUGAUGACUCAUAUCCAGCAGAAUCACAGUAGUACAGAGCUCUGCAGAAUACUUCUGAUGCAAGAAACUGAGUUGUAUAAGCAGAAGAAACAAAACCUCCAUCAUUUAAAGGCGAGAAAACUAGGCCAGCACCAGUGAAAGACAGUUAAGUCAUCCACAAUGAGUAAUUCUGACAUUAAAGAGAAGAUAAUGUGGUUAUUUAGAAUAUUUUCAGCCUGGUCCAUAAAAGUAAAAUCUUGAUGAUCACUGUGAGAUGCUCUUUGGAAGUGCAAUUGGGUGGGUCUUCAUAACUAAGGAGUGCAAGGAGUAAUCAGAAAAGACUAAUUCUACUACAUUUGAAUAUUGCGUCACUGCCUCGUAAACCAACUGUAAUACAGGUGAUUUAUAUAAUAUCUGUAAAAGAAAAGUGUAAAGAACUGGGUGUAGUUUUGUCACAAGCAUAAAGGAGUACAUAUGAAGAAAGAGGCUUCUAAUGUAACAUUAAGAAAAAGUGUUUCUAAUAUCCCUUCUCAUGCAUGUAUAACUACUCAUCUACUCUCCACCACCAAGCCAUUAGAGUAGGUGUGCGUUAAAAAAAAGAUGAACUCCGUUCGGAGGAGGAGGGAAAUGUGCAAUCGUCAUAUAUCUUCAGAACCCAUACGUGUUAGGGCACUCUGUGUGCUGAAACAUAAUUGCCAGUUGGUUUCUUAUUAGCUAAACUGAGGGAAAAAAUGGAAAAAAAACUAAAGCUGAUAUUUAAUAUGAUACGGAAUGUAUUUCAGAAUUGUGCUACAAGGUCAAGAAAAAUCUGUCUGCUAUGCAUGUGAUCUGAUUAUCUGAAGGUCAUCUAAUUACAUAUUCUAGAAACACUCUGGAAUUUAUCAGGACUUAUUUGAUAAAAUAAUGGUAGCAAAAUCCUCCCCUUUAUUCCUCUGUGCUGUCAGCAGGAAAUAUGAUCGCAGACUAAAAAGCUCUAUUUGUGUAAUAUGUGUUUUUCCCUCAACAAAUGAAAACAUAUGCAUGCUUCCAAAAAAGCAAAAUCUAUCUCUUAAGUCAAUAUUGCUGUACCUUAGUACCGUAACAGGAUAUACUAAUUACUGUAAGUUUAUAACUAUGCCUCCUUUUCCUGGAGAAACUUGUUACGGUAGAAGACUAAUCUAACUGAAUUGACAGCAUUUGAGAUGAUUCACAGGAGAAUUUAAAAGCACUUGUUAUUUUUGGAUAACAAACAGCAUUAAAAAUAUUGAUCGCCUUUUUGCUUUCAAUUGCCUCUUUUACACAAGGUUAUUUCUCCUCACAUCUGCGCAGCACUUCGCGGGCAGGGCUGUGACUUCGGGCCCUGGUUACAUGUUCCCACAAAUUGGCAGAGGCAGGGUGACAUUGCUAUAGCUGAGUUCUUUCUCUCUGGUUUGUCACCUUCAUUACAAUACCUACCUGCAUGUGAGCUACUGAGUUGCAUCUGAAAUAAUACCAUUUAUUUUUGGCUUUUGCCACGGACGCUUGGCACUAAUUUCCGUGUGUUAAAGCUGCACAGUCCUCUCAAGUUCUUGUGUGAGUUCGACCUUACCAAUACAGUCUGCUCUUCACCACACUAUUAGAAGGGCCCCCAGAUUUCAGAGACAAGUACAAAAGUGUUUCCAGCAAUCUACAAGUGCUAAAGAGAUCUCUCUUCCCAUCCCAUCUUGUUUCCGUCUUUGCUGUUGAUUCUGGUAAUGCUUACAAUCCUAAAACAAGAAAGAAAUCAGCAAUUUCCUUGGUGCCUAUUGCUCCUUUUCCUCCUUGGUCGUCCCCCGUGUCAGACAUGUUUAAUUGACAGGCAAAGGCCAAGUGUAGGUGGUUGGAUUACCGGGAGGAUAGUAGUGGUCUCACCUCUCUGUCCUCCAUUUAACAAAUCUGAG